rfam:Brassica napus, WGS project CCCW01000000 data, contig: 9368
GGGCGCGAACAUACUAGUACUAAUGCACCAUAUUUCAUCAAAAUUUCUUAGUUAAAUGUGUUUGGACGAAAAUAAUACUAAGAUGAAUGACCUUCCCAAAAAUCUUCUUGUUACAUCCU